UGGGGAAUAUUGGACAAUGGGCGAAAGCCUGAUCCAGCCAUGCCGCGUGUGUGAAGAAGGUCUUCGGAUUGUAAAGCACCUUAAGUUGGGAGGAAGGGCAGUAAGCGAAUACCUUGCUGUUUUGACGUUACCGACAGAAUAAGCACUGGCUAACUCUGUGCCAGCAGCCGCGGUAAUACAGAGGGUGCAAGCGUUAAUCGGAAUUACUGGGCGUAAAGCGUGCGUAGGCGGCUGAUUAAGUCGGAUGUGAAAUCACUGAGCUUAACUUAGGAAUUGCAUUCGAUACUGGUCAGCUAGAGUAUGGGAGAGGAUGGUAGAAUUCCAGGUGUAACAGUAAAAUGCGUAGAGAUCUGGAGGAAUACCGAUGGCGAAGGCAGCCAGCUGGCCUAAUACUGACGCUGAGGUACGAAAGCAGGGGGAGCAAACAGG
rnacentral:rRNA from 1 species